GCCUGUGUGGCGUAGUGGUUUCAGUAUUGAACUACAACUCUGGAGACCAGGGUUCGAGUCCCAGCUUGGCCA
rnacentral:tRNA from 1 species